UACGAAGGGGGCUAGCGUUGCUCGGAUUUACUGGGCGUAAAGGGCGCGUAGGCGGACAGUUAAGUCGGGGGUGAAAGCCCGGGGCUCAACCUCGGAAUUGCCUUCGAUACUGGCUGUCUUGAGUACGGGAGAGGUGUGUGGAACUCCGAGUGUAGAGGUGAAAUUCGUAGAUAUUCGGAAGAACACCAGUGGCGAAGGCGGCUCACUGGCCCGAUACUGACGCUGAGGUGCGAAAGCGUGGGGAGCAAACAGG
rnacentral:rRNA from 1 species